CGGCGCUUGAGGCUUUCUGCCUCAUGACGUGAAGGUGGUUUGUUGCCGUGUUGUGUGGCAGAAGGACAAAAGCCCCGUAGUUAAUUUUUCAUUAACCCACGAGGCCCCUGCAUGCUUAGACAACAUCAGGAUAGCCUCUUACUGCGCUUUGCGCAAGGAGAAGAAGGCCAUG
rnacentral:antisense_RNA from 9 species